GCAGCGUCAGCGAAAGAUAAAGAUAUGACUCUGUUCCAUCACAGUUCCAUCACAGUUCCAUCACAAUCACAUUCACGAACGCCUUUUCCUUUCUGGGUAUUUGUUUCUUUGGUAGCUGGGGGAAAGUAUUAUCUCUCUGGAAGACAUUGAGGAAAUGCCAGCAUGCGCAAUACGAGUAUGGAUGGAGAAAUACAUUGAUGCUCAGGUACGGAGAAACUUCCAAUUUGGUGGAUAUAAAAAUACUCCUAGGCGCAAGCAUAGUCUACUGAAAAUAAAAUACCUGCCAGAAAGUUAAGCAAACAUGUUAUCCAUCCCUUCGCGGACUUAUUAUUGUUGCCAAAGGGCUCCUUUAAUCCUUGGUCCAUCAAUUUCUACUAGCU
rnacentral:sRNA from 2 species